AGCGAACGCUGGCGGCAGGCUUAACACAUGCAAGUCGAACGCAUCCUUCGGGGUGAGUGGCAGACGGGUGAGUAACACGUGGGAACAUACCUUUUGGUUCGGAAUAACUCAUGGAAACGUGAGCUAAUACCGGAUACGCCCUUUUGGGGAAAGAUUUAUUGCCGAAAGAUUGGCCCGCGUCUGAUUAGCUAGUUGGUGAGGUAAUGGCUCACCAAGGCGACGAUCAGUAGCUGGUCUGAGAGGAUGAUCAGCCACACUGGGACUGAGACACGGCCCAGACUCCUACGGGAGGCAGCAGUGGGGAAUAUUGGACAAUGGGCGCAAGCCUGAUCCAGCCAUGCCGCGUGAGUGAUGAAGGCCUUAGGGUUGUAAAGCUCUUUUAUCCGGGAAGAUAAUGACUGUACCGGAAGAAUAAGCCCCGGCUAACUUCGUG
rnacentral:rRNA from 1 species